UACGACUACAUAUCAGGCAUAUCAAUAAGCGGAGGAAAAGAAACUAACAAGGAUUCCCUUAGUAACGGCGAGUGAAGCGGGAAGAGCUCAAAUUUGAAAUCUUCAAGGUUUUACCUUGACGAAUUGUAGUUUAAAGAAGUGUUUUCUGUUGGAAUUUUCGGUAAAAGUUCUUUGGAAUAGGACAUCAUAAGAGGGUGAGAAUCCCGUAUUUGACCAUUAUCUUCCAGCUUUGUGAUACACUUUCGAAGAGUCGGAUUGUUUGGGAAUGCAGUCCCAAAAUGGGUGGUAAAUUUCAUCUAAAGCUAAAUAUUGGCGAGAGACCGAUAGCGAACAAGUACCGUGAGGGAAAGAUGAAAAGAACUUUGAAAAGAGAGUUAAACAGUACGUGAAAUUGUCAAAAGGGAAGCGUUUGACACCAGUGUUGUUUUCUCGAAAAUCAAUUAAAAAUGACCUGAUUUUGUGUUGUAUUGACUUUAUACAGCUUUCUUCACUUUUUUCAUUGUCUUUUUUAAUGCACUUUUCGUUUAACAAGUCAACAUCAAUUUCUUUUGUUGUAAAAGGGUCAUUGGAAGGUGGCUUUCACUUCGGUGAAAGUGUUUAUAGCCUUUGACUUCUGCAAUCGGAGAGAUUGAGGUCUGCAGCGUAGAUCCUUCGGAGUUAGAUACAUUUGUGCUAAGUUAUAGUUUUUCAUAGACAACAUGUUGACUAUGAUUAAUCAUGUAGCUUACUCGCUUAUGCUAUUUUACCUACGCUUAGGAUGUUGACGCGCGUGUGUGCGUG
rnacentral:rRNA from 1 species